ACUCACAGAGUUCACGCCUGAGUGCGGGAACUUGUUCCAAUAAACUUCCAAGUAAAUGCUACAGUUCCCAUUGUGCUGAGGGCCCUGAAGAGGGACAGGCUGUGUGGCGCGUGUCUACAUGGGAGCAACAGAGUGACAUCUACAGGAACAGGACCUGACUCCACCAAAAAGUGCAUGGCUCUAGAUAUGCCAAAGAGAAGGACUCUGUUCUUUGAAAACAGCCAUCCAUACCUGCUGAGAUACAGGAGAGAGGAAGGGUGGCGGCCCGAGGGAAAGGUGCAGUAGACCCUAGACUGUGAUGUUCUUUUAGAUCCUCUCCUAAAGACUGGAGGGGUCUCAGCUUAUACUUCUUCAUUCCUAUUUUCUACCAAGGAGGUGAGAAGCCCCAAAACAUCAUGGCAUGAAUCUAUGACCACCUCAGACAACCACCACUAGGCUUUAAAAAGGAGAUCAGCAGACCACAGCGGAAUCUGCUUAAUUAACAUGAGACAAAUUCAACUAAAGGAAAUGCCACAAAAGAUAUUUGAAUUUUUUAAUGUCAGAAUCAAUUGUCUGGAUUUUUUUCUUUUCUUUCUUUCUUUCUUUCUUUCUUUCUUUCUUUCUUUCUUUCUUUCUUUCUUUUUUUGUCAAUAGAAAUUUAUAAAAGAAGGAUAGAGUAGAAGUGUAGAAGAGUCUUGAUAUGUGGAAUGGGGAUUAUGAUUCUACUAUCAGCAUUUUGUUGUCAACUAGCUGGGGAUUUACACCCUUCGGGCAUCACCCAGUUGCCUUUAAGCUUCCUCUCCUGUUGGCACAUGUAGAGACUGUAUAGGCCAGCAGGAGCUGCGAGGACAUAUUUGGACUUCUUGGCCAGCAAUGGAAACAUUUAAAAUCUUGAUCUGAUAUUACGAGAAACCUCUAAGCCUCUGGCCUCAAAGAAGAAAGAUGAGGAAAGUAGGAGAAAGUUACCCAGAAAGAAUCAAGAGAACAGUAAUAUGGCUGUCACCCCUAGUGGGUAGCUGGGAUAGAAAAUCCUCCUAGACAGAAAGACUUCACUACAGUGACUGCUUUCCAGGAUGGUCCAUGAGAGGAAUUUAUCAUUUUGAUGACAACUCCUCAUAGUAUGUGUUCCAAAACCUUUGGGUCAUUUUCCUUUUUUGACAAACCAUUGCUUUCUUUCUGUAUCUUGUUUUAAAAUAGUACAGGACAAAAAUCUUUUGGGAAAUGUAAUCGUAAGAGAGUUACCUAGCAGCAAUCAAACUAGAACUGUAUUUACAAUGAAUAUCAAUUACAAUAUAAAUAUAAAUGGUAAAGUUUAUGCUCAGAGAUACCUGGCCAUCUUCUUGUGAUUUUGUUGCCUUAAAAGAAGCCAUUAUAAUCUAUAUUGCUACUGUCAAUGAUGGUCUUAAAAGAGUUCAAGGCUAUGAGUCAUGAGAAAGAUAUAUAACUUGAAAGUACUAUAAAUUGUAUUAACUGUUUUGAGUAAGUUAGAGAAUGAAGAUCACUUGGUUACCCUUAAUAACAGAAAAACACAUGAGAAGGAAAAUUUCUUGUCUAAUUAGAGCCCCAAAUAACAUUUAGAUCUGUUUCUAAUAUUUUAAUUAUCUAUAGCUACCCUGCCUAUCAAAUAAACAACCUUUAAAAUAAGGAUUAUGCUGUAUGAAUUUUGAAACAAACCAAAUAUGAAAACAAUUAGCUCAAGUGUCCCAAAUGUACUGAAAUCUCUUCAAGGCCCCUGAGAAUCAGAUGAGAUUGACAGAAAAGGGGAAAGUAGAAUGCCUUUUAUUGCUAUGAUAAGGAAAGUUUCAAAAUUGUUUCAUUAGGUAUUUUUUCUCUUGGUCUAAAGAACUUUGAGAAACAGAGGCAACUUGAAAAUGGGCCUGGUAUUCAAACACAUCUGUGGGUUGCAAACAAACUAAGAGGAGGUAGAACAGGGAAAACUUUGUGGAGACAGGGUUCAGAAAAUUACUGAUGCAGGGAGACUCUAGAUCUGCACUGUCUCUGUUCUAUAUGGUAGUUUCUAUCUAUCAUGUGUGGCCACUUAAACUAAAAUCACACAAAACUUUUAAAAUUCAGUCUUCCAUCUCACUAACCAUUCUUCAUGUCUUCAUGGGCUGCAGUUGGUAAAUGACCACUGUAUUGGACAAUAGGGAUCAUUUCCCCUAUUAUGUAAAGUUCUUUUGGAUAGCACUCCUGUAGACAUUGGUUCCCAAUCUUCAAAUAACUGAACCUAUUUUUAACAUGAAAAAAGUGUACAGAUUCCCAUGAUGGGACUUUGAGUGUAGCAUCUACUAGUUGAAAAACACACAGUAUGACAAUAGCUACAAUAAGGGUAACAAAACAAAAAUCCAUUUAAAAGCAUUGCUGAGCACCAGAGCCUCUACAGACAUUUGAAAAAUAGUG